AUUGAACGCUGGUGGCAGGCUUAACACAUGCAAGUCGAACGGUAACAGGAAUUAGCUUGCUAGUUUGCUGACGAGUGGCGGACGGGUGAGUAAUGCUUGGGCAUCUGGCUUAUGGAGGGGGAUAACUACGGGGAACUGUAGCUAAUACCGCGUAAAAUCUGCGGAUUAAAGGGUGGGACUUUCGAGACACCUGCAAUAAGAUGAGCCGAAGUGGGAUUAGGUAGUUGGUUAGGUAAAGGCUGACCAAGCCGACGAUCUCUAGCUGGUCUGAGAGGAUGACCAGCCACACUGGAACUGAGACACGGUCCAGACUCCUACGGGAGGCAGCAGUGGGGAAUAUUGGACAAUGGGCGGAAGCCUGAUGCAGCCAUGCCGCGUGUAUGAAGAAGGCCUUCGGGUUGUAAAGUUCUUUCGGUGAGGAGGAAGGUCAAUAGGUUAAUAGCCUGCCAAAUUGACGUUACUCACAGAAGAAGCACCGGCUAACUCCGUG
rnacentral:rRNA from 1 species